rnacentral:rRNA from 1 species
AGAUUGAACGCUGGCGGCGUGCCUAACACAUGCAAGUCGAACGAGAAAGCCUGGCUUGCCAGGCAAGUAAAGUGGCGCACGGGUGAGUAACGCGUGGGUAAUCUACCUUCGUCUGGGGGAUAACCUACCGAAAGUGGGCUAAUACCGCAUGACGUGAUCGGGUUGCGACCUGAUCACCAAAGAUAGCCUCUCCCUGGAAGCUAUCGGGUGAAGAUGAGCCCGCGUCCCAUUAGCUAGUUGGUAAGGUAACGGCUUACCAAGGCUACGAUGGGUAGCUGGUCUGAGAGGAUGGCCAGCCACACUGGAACUGGAACACGGUCCAGACUCCUACGGGAGGCAGCAGUGAGGAAUCUUGCGCAAUGGGGGCAACCCUGACGCAGCAACGCCGCGUGAGUGAAGAAGGCCUUCGGGUCGUAAAGCUCUGUCAAGUGGGAAGAAUAGCCUUAGGGUUAAUAGCCUUAGGGUAUGACUGUACCACUGGAGGAAGCACCGGCUAACUCCGUGCCAGCAGCCGCGGUAA